AAUGGAAAUACUCGCUGAUACUGCAAGAAUUGUGGCAUCGGUAUAAGCCAGUAUUUCCGAUAC
rnacentral:pre_miRNA from 1 species